UAUGAAGGAGUUCAGACUGGGACAUCUGUUAUCCCAUUGAUUAUCAGGGUUAAUUUGACUGAUAGGGUGGUCUGUCGGGGGGUAGGGGGAUAUUUCCUCUUCCUGCAUCAUUCCUCCAUAGGCAUCCUCCCUCAGUCAAAUAGAAUGACCUAUCCAAAAGUAGAGGAUAUUCUUUGGUCAAGAGUAUAAGAAUGGUAGACCUCCUUUGCUGAAAUGUCCAAGCUGCGUCUAAUGUGUACUGCAGUAUU
ensembl:misc_RNA 7SK 7SK RNA